rnacentral:misc_RNA from 1 species
GGACUCCCAGUCGGCACAUGCGAUAUUUCAUACCACAAGAAUGUGGCGCUCCGCGGUUGGUGAGCAUGCUCGGUCCGUCCGAGAAGCCUUAAAACUGCGACGACACAUUCACCUUGAACCAAGGCGUGUACCGUUACAGGGGUC